rnacentral:rRNA from 1 species
AGCAGCCGCGGUAAUUCCAGCUCCAAUAGCGUAUAUUAAAGUUGUUGCAGUUAAAAAGCUCGUAGUUGAAUUUCGAGACCGGCUUACUGGUCGUGCUAUUGUACGUACUGGUAUAAUCGGUUUCUCCUUUCUGACGAACUAUAAUGCCAUUAAUUUGGUGUUUUAGGGAAUCAGGACUGUUACUUUGAAAAAAUUAGAGUGUUUAAAGCAGGCUCACGCUUGAAUACAUUAGCAUGGAAUAACGGAAUAGGACGUUUGAUUUUAUUUUGUUGGUUUCUAGGAUCGACGUAAUGAUUAAUAGGGAUAGUUGGGGGCAUUAGUAUUCAAUUGUCAGAGGUGAAAUUCUUGGAUUUAUUGAAGACUAACUACUGCGAAAGCAUUUGCCAAGGAUGUUUUCAUUAAUCAAGAACGAAAGUUAGGGGAUCGAAGACGAUCAGAUACCGUCGUAGUCUUAACCAUAAACUAUGCCGACUAGGGAUCGGAUGAUGUUAAUUUUUAAUGACUCAUUCGGCGCCUUACG